AAAGUCAGUUUNGUACUUAAAUUACACAUGCAAGUUUCCGCACCCCCGUGAAAACGCCCUCCCCANUCCUCUUAGGANACGAGGAGCCGGUAUCAGGCGCCCUCUCUUUGCCCAAGACACCUAGCCUUNGCCACACCCACACGGGNAAUUCAGCAGUGAUUAACUUUGAACAUGAGCGUCAGCUUAAUUCAGUUAAAGUACNAGUAAAGCCGGCAAAUCCGGUGCCAGCCGCCGCGGUUACACCAGUAGGCUUAAGUUGACUCUNAUAUCGGCGUAAAGCGUGAUUAAAGUAAUAAUAAAANNNNUAAAGUUAAACUGCAACUAGACUGUAAUAAAGCNUUGUUUUCAGGAAUANUCAUANAACGAAAGUUACUUUAGACAAAANCAACUUGAAUUCACGACAGCUGAGAAACAAACUGAGAUUAGAUACCUCACUAUGCUCAGCCGUAAACUUUNUAAUUACACCUNNCUAUCGCCAGGGAACUACGAGCAAAGCUUAAAACCCAAAGGACUUGACGGUACCCCACAUCCAUCUAGAGGAGCCUGUCCUAUAAUCGAUAAUCCCCGUUUAACCUCACCAUUUUUAGCUANNAUCAGCCUGUAUACCUCCGUCGUCAGUCUACCACGUGAGCGAAAUUCAGUAGGCAAAAUGUCCAUAUGAUUUUUUAUCUAUNACGUCAAUACGUCAGGUCAAGGUGCAGCAAAUAAAGUGGGAAGAGAUAGGCUACAUUUUCUAUCUNUAGAAAAUANCGAAAAAUUAUUUAUGAAAUCNUAAUUAGAAGGAGGAUUUAGUAGUAAAAAGAAAAUANGAGAGUUCUUUUAAUUGUUC
rnacentral:ncRNA from 1 species